UAAUAUUUUAGAAUAUUUACCAUUGAAUCACAUACUCUUAUAACUUAUAUCUUAACAUACCGCAGUAGGUAUAUCAUCACCUACCGAUAUCUGCUACUGGCUAAAGUAUUUCAUACUUAUAUUAUUAUGUUAGACAAGGGACUUACUAAAGCACCUAGUUGGCUAACUAUAUUUACGAUACAGCUUUUAAUAGACAGGAUAAGUGAUAACUGUUGGGGCUUAGAAUAUGUGUAGGUUAACCAAAAUAUGAAUAUUGGACAAAAUAUGCUUUAAUAAAAUAAGUAUCUUCAACGAUUGCUCAUAUGACGCUCCCUGUAACAAAAUGUAAAAUAAGAGGUUUUGCCUAAAGUUAUAAAAAAAAAAGUUGUGCUGUGUCAACUUUGAUAACAAUUAAAAAAGGAAAAUAAUAUGUCUUUAUUAACACACUGUAUCUUUUUACAAAACAACAUUUUGUUAAGGUAUGUUUGGUCCAAUAUUUAUAUUUUGGUCCAAAUAAUCCGUACUUACUCUAGGUCUCAAUAGUGAUGACACUCCUUAUAGGUAGUAGACACGUAAAUGAAACUAAUAGGAAUAGUAAAUUAAGUUCUUUGUCAGUAAUUUGUCGAAAUUACGAGUAAAUUUAUUUAAUUUAUUUAGUCUUAAACAUUAUCUGAGACGUUCGAUAAUCAACAAUGUUUACAUUCUUAAUCCAUGUGGCUGCAGAGUUUUUAUCGCACCAACCUAUUCGGUAGACACAUAUGUUGUCAAUUCACACACAGGACCGGCUUUGGAUUGUAAAUUAUUGUUAUUUUCUUAAAAUAAAAAUUGCCCUUAACCACAUUGCUGAAAUCACCGUGCUAUUAUUUAUUGCAUCUAUUUUACACCCUCAAAACCUCGGCGUUUAUUUCGGUUACACCUUGUUCGAAAUUGCAACCCAUGUCUGGUAGUUUCUAUAAAUUACUAACCAAAAACUAAUACUGUUUUCAUAAAGACUUUUGUCAAUUUUAGUGUAGUCGUCAUGUAGAAAAUGAGUAUCCUCAGCCUCGAGGAGAGAAAAAGAAAAGUUUCGUUAAAUAUAUCAUGGGAACAAUUAUUUUAAUCGUUAUGAUAGGAAUAAUUUGGUUUCCUUUAGUUUUCUUCUCACUAGGAAACGCUGUAGGUGAGCCGAACGUUCCAUAUGAUGUAACAGUAAAUUUGAGAAUUGGGCAGUACCAGUCAAUUUAUCAAAUGUCUGCACAAUCAAAUGCCAUUUUUUCUUUUAAAGAAGAUCAUUUAAAAACAUUUAUAAGAUUAUAUGCGAGAAAUAAAGGAGCUUCUAAUUUCAUUUCUAAUUAUGAAGCGGCAGAUAUAGCAGCAAUUCAGCUAAACCCAAAUUCUGCAACCGUUUGGGGCAUUUCUCCGCCGGAUAAAGAACAAAUGCUAGAAGAAGUUAAAUCAGAACUUCCAAUUAACAUUCAAUUUGAAUACCAAAUUUCACACAAAACCACUACAAAAGAAGAUUCAGGAGUAAUAAGAGAAAACAUAAUAAUUAGUCUUGAACCGAACACAACCUCUCGUUCGAAUCUUUUAGAAAUGUUAGAAGGUUCUCACUCUGCUUCCCCAGUCCUAUUGAAAUACAUAAUGCCAAAGUUUUUAAAAGUUACCAAUAGGGGAACCUCGAAAGUGUUAAAUUUAUUUAUGGAAGCCAAUAGCACUGGUAUGUUGUUAGUUUUUGCAUGUUUCUCUAGU
rnacentral:lncRNA from 1 species